GGAACUCAGCACUCAGUCCCCUUUGAAUUCUUUGAAGGCCCUCUGAAGAAGAAUGAGUACAAGCAAGGCCAGACUGUGAAGACUGGAAUAAAUAAGAAACUCUUCAGUGUUCAGACAUGUACAAAUAUCCACAAGUAUUGAGAACAUUCAAGAAAAUAUGAUCUCAUCAAAUGGACUAAAUAAGCUGCCCAGUGACCAGCCCUGGAGUGAUAGAGAUCUAUCAGAUAGGGAAUACCUUUCAGACAGGGAAUUCAAAAUAUCUGUCUUGAAGAAGCUCAAAGAAUGUCAAGAAAACAUGAAGAAAGAAUUCAGAAUUUUAGCAGAGAAAUUUAACAAAGAGAUUGAAAUAAUUACCAAAAAAAAAAAAAAAAAUCAAACAGAAAUCCUAGUGCUGAAAAAGACAAUGGAUGAACUGAAAAAUACAUCAGAAUAUAACAACAGCAUAAUUGAUUAAGCAGAAGAAUUUGUUAGCUUAAAUACAGGCUAUUGAAAAUACAGAGGAGAAAAAAGAAAAAGAAUGAACUGUGCUUAAAAGAUAUAGAAAAUAGCCACAAAAGGGCAAGUCUAAGAGUGAUUACCUUUAAAAAGGGAGUAGAGAAAGAUGUAGGGAUAGACAGUUAAUUCAAAGAAAUAAUUAUAGAGUACUUUCCAAAUAUAUAUAUAUUCAUAUAUAUGAUUCAUAUUCAUAUAUAUAUUCAUAUAGAUAUAUGAUUCAUAUUCAUAUAUAUAUGAAUAUCCAGGUAUAAGAAAGUCAAAGAAUGCCAACCAGAUUCAACACAAGACAUAUAACAAUCAAACUCUCAAAGGUCAAAGAUGAAAAAGAGGAAAGGUAGCAAGAGAAAAGAAACAAAUAACAUAUAAAGGAACUCCAGUAGAUUGGCAGCAGUCUUCUCAGCAGAAAUCUCAUAGGCCAGAAGAAAGUGAAAAGACGUAUUUAAAGUGCUGAAGGGAACCAUCUUCAACCAAGAAUAUUCUAGUCAUCAAAUAUAUUCUUCAACCAUGAAGGCGAAAUAAAGGCUUUCCCAGCAAACAAAAGCUGAGGGAAUUCAUCAAUACCAGGCCUGUCUUACAAGAAAUAGUAAAGAGAGUUCAUCAGUCUGAAAGAAAAGAAUGCUAAUGUGCAACAAGAAAUCAUCUGAAGGAGUAAAACUUACUGGCAAAAGUAAAUACACAGACAAAUUGAGAAUAUUUUAACACUGUAGUUCUGGUGUGUGAACCCCUCAUAUCUUUAGUGUGAGCACUAAAAUACAAAUCUGUCAAGAAUGAUGACUGAAUAGCUUUUUAGGAGAUAUAUAAAAAGAUAUAAAGUGAGACAACGAAAAGAAAAGGAGUGAUGAGUUAUAGUGUAGAGAUUUUUAGUUUAUUCUUUGCUUAUUUCUUUUCAUUGUGAUCAAAGUCAAGUUGUCAUCAGUUUAAAAUAACUUGCUGUAACUGUAAGAUACUUUUUAUGUCUCAUGGCAACCAUAAUGCAAAAAUUUAUAGUAGAGAUACUAAAAACAAAAAGCAAAGGAUUAAAUCAUACUACCAGAGAAAAUCACUUAUCCACAAAAAAGGGAGUAAGAAAAUUAGAGAAGACUUAGAAAACAAAUAACAAAAUGGAAGUAGUAAGUCCCUAACUAUAAAUAUAAGAUUUAAUGUAAAUGGAUGAAAUUCUUCAACUAAAAGACAUAGAGUAGUUGAAUGGAUUGAAAAAAAAAAAGACCCAACUAUAUGCUGCCUACAAGAAAACUCACUACACCUAUAAAGAUGUACAGACUGAGAGUGAAGGGAUAGAAAAAGAUAUGCCAUGCAAAUGAAAACCAAAAUGGAACAGGUCUAGCUAUAUUUAUAUCAGGUAAAAUAAUUAUUUUUAAAUAAUGCAGUUUUUCAAGUUAAAAACUAAAAAAGAGAAAGUAAUUAUAUAAUGAAAAAAGUCAAUUUAGAAAGAUGUAACAAUUGUAAAUAUAUAUGACCCCAACAUUAGGGCACGCACAAACACAUAAAGCAAAUAUUAGUAGAUCAAAAGGAUAGACUUCAAUACAGUAAUACCAGAGAACUUCAACACCUCAUCUUCAGCAAUGGGCAGAUCAUUCAGAGAAUACAUUAACAAAGAAAAAAACCCAAAAGAAACUAAAGCAAAAAACCUAAAACUAAAACAAAGAAGAAAACUAAAACAAAGAAAUUAAACUCAAAAUUGGUAGAAGGAAAUAAAGAUCAGAGCAGAAAUAAAUGAAAUAGAGAUUUUAAAGUACAAAAGAUCAACAAAACGAGUUUUUUUUAUUUUAAUUUUUAGUUCUGGGGUACAUGUGCAGAAUGUGGAGGUUUGUUAAAUAGGUAAACAUGUGCCAUGGUGAUUUGCUGCACCUAUCAACCCAUCACCUAGGUAUUAAGCCCAGCAUAUAUUAGCCAUUUUUCCUAAUGCUCUCCCUCCCCCAGCCCCAUCCCUCGACAGGCCCCAGUGUGUAUUGUUCCCCUCCCUGUGUCCAUGUGUUCUCAUUGUUCAGCUCCCACUUAUAAGUGAGAACAUGUGGUGUUUGGUUUUCUGUUCCUGCAUUAGUUUGCUAAGGAUAAUGGCUUCUAGCUUCAUCCAUGUCCCUGCAAAGGACAUGAUCUCAUUCUUUUUUUUUUUUUUUUUUUUGAGGUGGAGUUGCACUCUUGUUGCCCAGGCUGGAGUGCAAUGGUGUAAUCUCGGCUCACCACAACCUCUGCCUCCCGGGUUCAAGUGAUUCUCCUGCCUCAGCCUCCUGAGUAGCUGGGAUUACAGGCAUGCGCCACCACGCCCGGAUAAUUUUUUGUAUUUUUAGUAGAGACGGAGUUUCUCCGUGUUGGUCAAGCUGAUCUCGAACUCCUGGCCACAGGUGACCUGCCCACCUCGGCCUCCCAAAGUGCUGGGAUUACAGGCGUGUGCCACUGCGCCCAGUCUAGCUCAGUACUUUGUAUGAACACAUAGUUUGCAUUAAGGUUGAACUGCAUAUAUGGUUUUACUUAAGGGUAUAUGCUUAAGUGAAAAAGGCAUGGGUCAGAAGAGUGUACAAAGGAUGCUGAAUUAUUUGAAGCCAGCAGAGGCAUAUGUAUAUAGGGACAGACAGGUGGGGAAACAGAAAUGAAAGUUAGGAUUCUAUGGAAUUAUUCUGUGAUAUAUCUUUGGGUUUUUACAAACAUAAAUACUUUAUAUAAUUCCUAAAUAAUGUUCAAUUAAAAUGAAAUUAUAAAAUCCAUAAAACUCAGGGGUUCUACACUCACAAAGGAAUAGAAAUAAAACAAGGGAAAUAUUUAAAAGAUAUAAGAUCUAUCAAAGUUAAUAACAUUAUUGUGAUAUUAUACUAUAAUUUGCAAAUGUAACCAUGAGGAAAAACUGGGCGAUAUGGGCCAGGCUCUUUCUGUUUUAUUUCCUACAACUGCUUGUGAAUCUAUAAUUAUUUCAAUAAAAUUUUCAAUUAAAUAGCCCAGUGAUAUGUAAGAUGAAAAUAAGAUAUUGUAAAACCUUGUCUUAAUCAUAUCUUGGUAAACACCAUUGGGUAUUGAUGAAUUGAAACAAAUAAACCUACAAUGUAAUUGGUAGCAAAGCUUUCACCAUAGAACAAAGCAAGUACAAAUGCUAACUCAAAUAAUUUAAAUAAUCUCUAAACUACAAAAAUUUUUGGAAGACUAAACUAACUCAUUUUAUUUUAAAUAUAUAUUUUGUAUUAAUUUCUAUAGAAAAUACAUUGUGAUUUGACUGCAUAGUAAUAAUCAUUGUAAUCUAUAAAUUAAUCAUCAAAGAAAUAGCAACCACAAAGAUUGGAAUCUCAACACAUAUGUUAAAAAGAAGUCCUAGGCCGGGCGCGGUGGCUCACGCCUGUAAUCCCAGCACUUUGGGAGGCCGAGACGGGCAGAUCACGAGGUCAGGAGAUCAAGACCAACCUGGCUAAUAUGGUGAAACCCCGUCUCUACUAAAAAUACAAAAAAUUAGCCAGGCGUGGUGGCGGGCGCCUGUAGUCCCAGCUACUGGGGAGGCUGAGGCAGGAGAAUGGCGUGAACCCGGGAGGCGGAGCUUGCAGUGAGCCGAGGUGGCGCCACUGCACUCCAGCCUGGGCGACACAGCGAGUCUCCGUCUCAAAAAACAAAAACAAAAUACCAAUACUAUGCUGUUUUGGAUACUAUGGCUGUGUAAGGUGUUGAAGUCAGGUAGUGUGAUGCUCCAGGUUUGUUCUUUUGGCUCAGGAUUGCUUUGGCUAUUUGGGCUCUUUUGAAGAUCCAUACAAAUUUUAGAAUUUUUUUCUAUAUCUGUGAAAAAAUGGCAUUUGUAUGUUGAUUGGGCUUGCAUUAAAUCUUUAGAUUGUUUUGGGUAGUACUGUCUGUUAUUUUAACAAUAUGUAUUCUUUGAAUACAUGAGCAUGGGAUGUCUUUCCAUUUGUUUGUGUCCUCUUCAGUUUAUUUUAUCAAUGCUUUGUAGUUUUCCUUGAUGUCUUUCCCCUCUUGAUUAAAUAUUUCUCAGUGUUCUAUUUUAUUUUAUUUUGCUUUUUAUAGCUAUUGCAAAUGGAAUUGCCUUCUUGAUUUCUGUUUUGGCUAUUUCAUUAUUGGUGUACCGCAAUGCUACUGAUUUUUGUAUAUUGAUUUUGUGUCUUACAACUAUAUUAAAUUUGUUCCCCAGUUCUAAGAGUUUAUAAGAUCAUAUUACAACAAAGAAAAACAAUUUUACUUUAUAUUUUCUCACCCGAAUAUCUUUUAUUUAGUUAGCUAGGUAUUUUUCUUGCCUGAUUUCUCUGGCUAGGACCUCUAGUACUAUACUGAAUAGGAGUGGCAAAAAUAGGUAUCUUAUACAUGACAUUCAGAAAUGUGCACACAUUAUAGUGGUAUGCUUCAAUACAUUUUUCUUGUAGGUCAACACAUCUCUGAAGGCAGGACACAUUCAAAGAAAGUCCAAAAAGACCAACACCACAUGGUCAUGGUCUCACUUGUAUGCAGAAUUUAGGCAAGUUGAGUUUAUAAAAGUAGAGAGUAGAAUGGUGGUUACCAGAGGCUAAAGAGAUAGAGGGCAAACUGAAAAACGGGAGGUUUUUGUGAAAGCAUACGAAGUUUCAGUUAGACACAAGGAAUGUGUUCUAGUGAUCUGUUGCACGGCGUGGUGACUAUUGUUAAUGUCUAUUCCAAAAUUGCCAAAAGAGUAGAUUUUAAAUGUUCUCAUCAGAAAGAAAUGAUAAGUAUGUGAGGAGAUGUGUAUUAAAACAUAAUGACGGA
rnacentral:lncRNA from 1 species